rnacentral:rRNA from 1 species
AGGACGAACGCUGGCGGCGUGCUUAACACAUGCAAGUCGAGCGGAAAGGCCCUUCGGGGUACUCGAGCGGCGAACGGGUGAGUAACACGUGAGCAAUCUGCCCCUAGCUCUGGGAUAGCUCCGGGAAACCGGAAUUAAUACCUGAUACGACCACGGCUGACAUCGGCCAUGGUGGAAAGCUUUUGCGGCUAGGGAUGAGCUCGCGGCCUAUCAGCUUGUUGGUGGGGUAACGGCCUACCAAGGCGACGACGGGUAGCCGGCCUGAGAGGGCGACCGGCCACACUGGGACUGAGACACGGCCCAGACUCCUACGGGAGGCAGCAGUGGGGGAAUAUUGCGCAAUGGGCGAAAGCCUGACGCAGCGACGCCGCGUGCGGGAUGAGGCCUUCGGGUUGUAACCGCUUUCAGCAGGGACGAAGCGAAAGGUGACGGUACCUGCAGAAGAAGCGCCGGCUAACUACGUGCCAGCAGCCGC